rnacentral:rRNA from 1 species
GACGAACGCUGGCGGCGUGCUUAACACAUGCAAGUCGAACGGAAAGGCCCUGCUUUUGUGGGGUGCUCGAGUGGCGAACGUGUGAGUAACACGUGAGUAACCUGCCCUUGACUUUGGUAUAACUUCAGGAAACUGGGGCUAAUACCGGAUAGGAGCUCCUGCUGCAUGGUGGGGGUUGGAAAGUUUCGGCGGUUGGGGAUGGACUCGCGGCUUAUCAGCUUGUUGGUGGGGUAGUGGCUUACCAAGGCUUUGACGGGUAGCCGGCCUGAGAGGGUGACCGGCCACAUUGGGACUGAGAUACGGCCCAGACUCCUACGGGAGGCAGCAGUGGGGAAUAUUGCACAAUGGGCGGAAGCCUGAUGCAGCAACGCCGCGUGCGGGAUGACGGACUUCGGGUUGUAAACCGCUUUCGCCUGUGACGAAGCGUGAGUGACGGUAAUGGGUAAAGAAGCACCGGCUAACUACGUG